GGCUAAGUGCGGGCCGGCAGGUGCGGUACUGAUGAGGACCCGAGCGUGUGACGGGUUUAUGUGGCGUAAAGCGAACGCAGGUUGUUGUAUAAGUCUGAAGUAAAAGGCAGUGGCUCAACCAGUGUGUGCUUUGGAAGCUGUACAACUUGAGUGCAGAAGGGGAGAGUGGAAUUCCAUGUGUAGCGGUGAAAUGCGUAGAUAUAUGGAGGAACACCGGUGGCGAAAGCGGCUCUCUGGUCUGUAACUGACACUGAGGCUCGAAAGCGUGGGGAGCAAACAGGAUUAGAUACCCUAGUAGUC
rnacentral:rRNA from 1 species